AUAAUUUCAUUAUUAAUCUUUAAAAAAUGUAUUUCAUUCAAAAAAUUAAAUUUCUAUGGUAGGAUGUAUUGUCUUACAAAAAACUAGAAUGUCUUGUUUUUACAUAGAAACUCUGCCAAUUUAUAAAUGUAUCUUAUCAAAGUUGGGAAGAUAAAACUUCGAUCAAACAUAUUGCAAGUACCUAUUAUACUUAUAUUUAGCAUACAAAUUCAACAACAAUGGCUACCUUCGUAAAGGUCAGGCUAAAUAUUCAAUUUAUCUUAAUAGAAAGUGCAUGUUGUGCAUAAAAUUAAUGAUUAUUUCUAGGAGAAAUGUGAUGUUAUUAUUUACUUUAUAGUUAUGAGCAUUUGAAGGGGUAAAUGGACCCCAAAUUUAUUUGGUAUAUGCGCUGUGGAUAUAUUGUAUUGUAUUUUUGGUUGGUUUAGUCCAUAUUAUAGGGGAGAUGUUGCCGAAAUUUCGACGAAAUGUUUGCAGUAUCUAUCUUUCGAGAUAAUCCGUAAGUCCUUGCUUAUUCUAACUCACUCACAUUUUUGAGGCAGUUAGUAAGUCCUCGCUUAUUAGAGCUACCCAUAUUUCUGAGGCAAUCUAUAACACCUCGUCUGCAUGACAUCUUAUACUUCAAAGUUUGACCCGCAUAUAAAUAAUACGACUCAGACUUGGGGGACUAUUGUUAUAUCCAAAAAUUACGUGGUAUACGUAUGACGGAGGGCUCCCAUAUUGGACGACAUGGCAUCGUUUAUUUGACAGCUUAUAUUUCAAAGUCUGAGCCGCAUAUAAAUAAUAUGACUCAGACUUGGGGGAUUAUUGUUAUACAUAUAAAUUAUUGCAUAUUGAACCUUAUUAUUGGACUUGGACGAGGCCCAUUAAUGCACUUAGCCCAUCUCCAUUUUCCAUAUAUAUGUGGUUUCAUUUCAUUCCGAGGUAAGUGAUUCUAACCCGAAGCAAACCCCCUCCCGUCUCUUGCACAUUUUAUUUUCUUUCCUUUCCGUCCGGUCGUUGACUUGAUUGUCGGAGUGCAAACGGUCGCUGAACCAUUUUCUCGAUCGGUGGCCUUUGCCUCCAACAGGGUGCUCUGUGUGCAGGUGAUGAGGGGAUGAGGUUGGAUUUUGUUGGCGCAUUUUUUGAGGUCAACAGAAGCAUUAAAAGGCCUCGAGUAUUGAAACAAUUUGAACAAAGGGUGAUUCGUGUAUGUAAGUUCUAAAACCUAGUUAAUUAACCAAUUUGUCUCAAUCAUGUGUUUUAGUUAGAAUAAGUUAGUAAGAACUUCUUACCGACAGUUUUUCGCACAGUUCUGAUUUGGAUAACUUAAUAGAUUUGUGUUUUACAAGAUAUAAUUUAUUGCAAAAUUAAAUAAAGAUGAACAAUAGAUAUACCAUCAUAAACCUCUAAGUAAAACAUUCACGAACCCCAUGCCACGGGUAAAAUAAUCCACUAUGAAGGAAUUAAAAAUACAAAAUUAACGAAACAAUCAAAAGUAAGUAAAUAACAAUUCCCUCGCUUUCUUUUCUCUUUUGACUUCUUGGAGAAGUAGAAUCAAAUCCUCCG
rnacentral:lncRNA from 1 species